UACGAAGGGGGCUAGCGUUGCUCGGAAUCACUGGGCGUAAAGGGUGCGUAGGCGGGUUUUUAAGUCAGGGGUGAAAUCCUGGAGCUCAACUCCAGAACUGCCUUUGAUACUGAAGAUCUUGAGUCCGGGAGAGGUGAGUGGAACUGCGAGUGUAGAGGUGAAAUUCGUAGAUAUUCGCAAGAACACCAGUGGCGAAGGCGGCUCACUGGCCCCGGUACUGACGCAUGGAGGCACGAAAAGCGUGGGGGAGCAAACAGG
rnacentral:rRNA from 1 species